UACGGGGGGGGCAAGCGUUGUUCGGAAUUACUGGGCGUAAAGGGCGCGUAGGCGGCCUUCUAAGUCGAACGUGAAAUCCCCGGGCUCAACCCGGGAACUGCGUCCGAUACUGGAAGGCUUGAAUCCGGGAGAGGGAUGUGGAAUUCCAGGUGUAGCGGUGAAAUGCGUAGAUAUCUGGAGGAACACUGGUGGCGAAGGCGACAUCCUGGACCGGUAUUGACGCUGAGGCGCGAAAGCCAGGGGAGCAAACGGG
rnacentral:rRNA from 1 species